rnacentral:rRNA from 1 species
UACGUAGGGCGCAAGCGUUGUCCGGAAUUAUUGGGCGUAAAGAGCUCGUAGGCGGCUUGUCACGUCGGUUGUGAAAGCCCGGGGCUUAACCCCGGGUCUGCAGUCGAUACGGGCAGGCUAGAGUGUGGUAGGGGAGAUCGGAAUUCCUGGUGUAGCGGUGAAAUGCGCAGAUAUCGGGAAGAACACCCGUGGCGAAGGCGGCUCUCUGGGACGGUACUGACGCUGAGACGCGAAAGCGUGGGGAGCGAACAGG